UCUUUAAGUUCCAUGUUGCUUAUUAUGAUGAAGAAGGAACAUACAUCUCUGGCUAUAAAUCUGCAUCUCGGAACUAUUUGUUUGGGAAAAUGGGUUACUUCUUUGAUAUUGUGGCCUCUUUCCCAUCAGGAUUGAUAGUGCUGAGUUUAAUUGGUACUAUACAUGCAGAAACAUAUUUUGCUUUUAUUAUAAAAAUUCGCCUCCUACAUCUGCCAAAAAUUCUUUCUGCACUGAUUUUCAUGAGAGAGGAAGAGAAAUCCAUUAGUACCAAUUUGCUUGUAAUAAGAAUCAUCAAGUAUUUGGUCCAAGGGGUUCUCUUUGUGCAUAUUACUGCUCUUAUAUGUGUGUUGUACGCAGAGAAUACUGACAGGUUCCGUGGGGAUAUAGAGGCAUCAUACUUUGUCAAAAAGUAUAUGUAUGGAGCAUACUGGACACUGGCAACGUACACAACAACUGGUUUUGGAGAUUUUCGUCCUAGAAAUUUCGGUGAAAUGUUAUUCACCAUUUUUUUAAUGAUUAUAGCGAAGAUGCAUGUAAUUUACAACAUGGGGGUCCUUUCCUCUUCUCAAACAAAUAAGCAGUCACUCCAGGUUGCCUUUGAGGAGAAGCUACAGGUACAAAUUGUGUUUAAAGUGAUUUAAAAAUGCAAACGCAAUUAAUCACAUACAUUAAACUGUAUAUAGUAAAACAU